AAUCAAGCCUCCUAAACCCUUCGACUUCCAGAACGCAGCGGACUGGCCCGCCUGGAUGGACGAAUUUGACGACUACAGAUUCGCGUCUGGGCUACAUGAGAAAACAGACGAAGUUCAAGCCCACGAUGCUUAUAAAACGGGGAAGAUGUGACGUCAUCCUGCUGCAUUCCGUGGCCGCCUGUUCCAGAGACAAGCGCCGAGACACGCGCUAUCUUUGUUUCCAUCAUCAGGUUAUCACGAGAGUCAUGUGAUCAUUCUGACUGUAUAUAUUUCACGACGAAACAUUAAAGAGGGCUUUUUUCUUG